CACUGCCGAGAAAAGCCUCUAGAUAGAAAAUAGGUGCCCGUACCGCAAACCGACACAGGUAGUCAAGAUGAGAAUUCUAAGGUGAGCGAGCGAACUCUCGUUAAGGAACUCGGCAAAAUGACCCCGUAACUUCGGGAGAAGGGGUGCUCUUUAGGGUUAACGCCCAGAAGAGCCGCAGUGAAUAGGCCCAAGCGACUGUUUAUCAAAAACACAGGUCUCUGCUAAACCGUAAGGUGAUGUAUAGGGGCUGACGCCUGCCCGGUGCUGGAAGGUUAAGAGGAGUGGUUAGCUUCUGCGAAGCUACGAAUCGAAGCCCCAGUAAACGGCGGCCGUAACUAUAACGGUCCUAAGGUAGCGAAAUUCCUUGUCGGGUAAGUUCCGACCCGCACGAAAGGCGUAACGAUUUGGGCACUGUCUCAACGAGAGACUCGGUGAAAUCAUAGUACCUGUGAAGAUGCAGGUUACCCGCGACAGGACGGAAAGACCCCGUGGAGCUUUACUGUAGCCUGAUAUUGAAAUUCGGCACAGCUUGUACAGGAUAGGUAGGAGCCUUUGAAACGUGAGCGCUAGCUUACGUGGAGGCGCUGGUGGGAUACUACCCUAGCUGUGUUGGCUUUCUAACCCGCACCACUUAUCGUGGUGGGAGACAGUGUCAGGCGGGCAGUUUGACUGGGGCGGUCGCCUCCUAAAAGGUAACGGAGGCGCUCAAAGGUUCCCUCAGAAUGGUUGGAAAUCAUUCAUAGAGUGUAAAGGCAUAAGGGAGCUUGACUGCGAGACCUACAAGUCGAGCAGGGUCGAAAGACGGACUUAGUGAUCCGGUGGUUCCGCAUGGAAGGGCCAUCGCUCAACGGAUAAAAGCUAC
rnacentral:rRNA from 1 species